GGUUUGAUUCCGGCUCAGGUUGAACGCUGGCGGGAUGCUUUACACACAUGCAAGUCGAACGGCAGCACGGACUUCGGUUCGGUGGCGAGUGGCGAACGGGCAAGAGUAAUGUAUCGGAACAUGCCUAGUAGCGGGGGAUAACUACGCGAAAGCGUGAAGCCAAUACCGCAUAUUGCCCUUCGGGGAAAGCGGGGACCUUCGGGCCUGCACUAUUAGAGCGGCCGAUAUCGGAUUAGCUAGUUGGUGGGGUAAACGGCUCACCAAGGCGACGAUCCGUAGCUGGUUUGAGAGGACGACCAGCCACACUGGGACUGAGACACGGCCCAGACUCCCCGCACGGAGGCAGCAGUGGGAAUUUGGACACGUCGGGGAAACCUGAUCCAGGCCAUCUCGCGUGCGAUGAAGGCCUUCGGGUUGUAAAGCACUUUUGGCAGGAAAGAAACGGCACGGAUAAUACCUCGCAACUGACGGUACCUGCAGAAUAAGCACCGGCUAACUACGUGCCAGCAGCCGCGGUAAUACGUAGGGUGCAAGUUGCCAAUCGGAAUUACUGGGCGUGUGCGUGCAGGCGGUUCUGGAAAGAGAUGUGAAAUCCUGUGAUGAAUUUGGAACUGCAUUUUUAACUGCCGAGCUAGAGUGUGUCAGAGGGAGGUGGAAUUCCGGCGUAGCAGUGAAAUGCAGAGAUAAGUGCGGAGGAACACCGAUGGCGAAGGCAGCCUCCUGGGAUAACACUGACGCCUUACCAAAGUUGUAUAAACAGGAUUAGAUAAUUCUGUAGUCCAAUGCCCUAAACGAUGUCAACUAGCUGUUGGGGUCAUGGGCCUGCAAAGCAAAGCCAACGCGCAGUUUAACGCCUGGGGAGUACGGUCGCAAGAUUAAAACCCAAAGGAAUUCGACGGGGACUCGCCAGCGGUGGAUGAUGUGUGAUUGACCUGAUGCAACGCGAAAAACCUUACCUACCCUGACAUGUCUGGAAUCCCGAAGAGAUUUGGGAGUGCUCGCAGAGAAUCCGAACACAGGUGCUGCAUGGCUGUCGUCAGCUCGUGUCGUGAGAUGUUGGGUUAAGUCCCGCAACGAGCGCAACCUUGUCAUUAGUUACAUGAAAGGGCACUCUAAUGAGACUGCCGGUGACAAACCGGCGGAAGGUGGGGAUGACGUCAGUCCCCGCGGCCUUUAUGUAGGGCUUCACACGUCAUACAAUGGUCGGGACAGAGGGUCGCCAACCCGCAGGGAGCUAUCCAGAAACCCGAUCGUAGUCCGGAUCGCAGUCUGCAACUCGACUGCGUGAAGUCGGAAUCGCUAGUAAUCGCGGAUCAGCAUGUCGCGGCAAUACGCCCCGGUCUUGUACACACUGCCCGUCACAAUUGGCUAGUUUUACCAGAAGUAUUAGCCUAACCGUAAGGAGGGCGAUUACCACGGUAGGAUUCAUGACUGGGGUGAAGCCGUAACAAGGUGUCCCACAUUACCUGCCCC
rnacentral:rRNA from 1 species